AAUUAAAUUUUUGUGAAUGCUUUGCUUUUAGUUUAUUCCACAAGCAUGGAGUCUGCUUUCUAUGCAAGAUUGAGACGAAGAUUAAUUUUAUCUUAAAAGAGAAAUGGAAGGGGAACGAUAUUGACAUAUUAAAAAAAUAUUUUUCUUUAAAAAACUCAUAAUUAGUAUGUAACCUAAUAAUUAGUAUGUAACCUAGGCCAAACAAGAACAAGAGAUGAUGAGCCAUUUGAAAGGAGUAUUCGACGUAGACAAUAUAUCAUUAAUGAUGAAAGUAGAAAACAACGUAAGUGUGGACGAGCAAGAGUCAGAGUUGUUGUUCUUUCCGUCUCCUCAAUACUCAGUCUCCACUCCCAUUUGAGCCAACUCCUCCAAGAAGCCGAUAAAGGUAAUCGUAAAUGUGCACACAGAGAUGGAUGGAGAGAGAUUAAGAGAGGAAUUCUAGGACUGUCAAACUACUACCAUGUCAAAUCAUCACCCACCUUCAACCCUAUCUCUUGACACCUUCAUAUACUGCAAGAACCACUACCAGUACAGGCCGACAACUAUUCACAGCUGCUUAUGCUUCACUGUCAUCAUUCUUUUGAACCCUUGGAAGGGUGAGCUUCAGUAAUUUGAAAUAAAAUGAUUUAGAAAGAAGAUAAAGUUUUUCACUUACCAAAAAAAAGGAAAGAAUAUAAGGUUUUAGUCAAUAGGCUUUCUAUGUUGCUCCUAUGGUCAUAAGGCUAAUCUUCAUUUUCCAAUAUUCAAACUAACAUUAUUGCUGCUGUGUGCUGCUAUACUAAGGCCUGGUGCUGUUGUUUGUGAAAUUUUUUUGUUGUUGUUGUACAUGCUAAUAUGCAUUAUGCUUCUAUUGUACUUAGUGUUAGCUGUAUUGUGAUCAUUGGUAAUUGUUGGCAUUGUACUAGGAAUUGAUGCAAAGUCCAGGACGUUUUGGUAGUUAUUGGCAGAUUCUUAAAAAAGCACUUAGUGAGAAAUAUUAACAUAGGCUAUGUUUGUUUGCUUCACGUUAAUAGAAGGUUGCAAGGAAAUUCAAAUGUUAAUAAAAAGUUGGCCUCUUAAGAGUGUGCCACCUUAGCUUUGGAGUCUUCACAAUUUUACACCUCAACAAUAUUUUUAAUUUUUAUUUUUAGCACGGUAUUUUAGGUAAAUAUUUUACUUAGUUUGAACUUAGAACUACUUUGAACCCGAUAAUGCACUCCCCCUCUCUCUAUCUUUGUAACCUCAAUAGGCUAUGGCUGCUACCGUGAUUUCAAAUAUCUCUAAUAGCAACCUCUGAGGACAACCAUCCAAAGGCAAGAUGGAAUGUGGGGUACCGCUGCAAGUGUUGCCUUGAAAAGAAAAGACUGCAGUUGAUUCAAAUGCUCCAGCUACUGCUUGCAGUGCACACAAGACUGAGACAAGGCUGAUGAAUAACUUUAUAUGUAAUAACAUUAUAACCUUAUUUCACAAAGUUCAAGGUCCUUAAUGUUUUUCUUUUAAUAUGUUUUAUUUAUUUAUUUAAAUUGAUGUAGUUUAUUUAAAGAUAUGUAAAGCAUUCUUGUGUUUGCA